rnacentral:rRNA from 1 species
AACGUAGGAGGCAAGCGUUAUCCGGAGUUACUGGGCGUAAAGCGUGCGUAGGUGGUUUGUUAAGUCUGUUGUGAAAGCCCCGGGCUCAACCUGGGAAUGGCAAUGGAUACUGGCAAGCUAGAGUGCGGUAGAGGGUAGUGGAAUUCCCGGUGUAGCGGUGAAAUGCGUAGAGAUCGGGAGGAACACCAGUGGCGAAGGCGGCUACCUGGACCAGCACUGACACUGAGGCACGAAAGCGUGGGGAGCAAACAGG